AUUAGACGAAUCAUCUGGAAAGAUGAAUCAAAGAAGGUAAUAAUCCUGUAGUCGAAAAUGUUGUCUCUCUUGAGUGGAUCCUGAGUACGACGGAGCACGUGAAAUUCCGUCGGAAUCUGGGAGGACCAUCUCCUAAGGCUAAAUACUCUCUAGUGACCGAUAGUGAACCAGUACCGUGAGGGAAAGGUGAAAAGCACCCCGGAAGGGGAGUGAAAUAGAACCUGAAACCGUGUGCUUACAAGUAGUCAGAGCCCGUUAAUGGGUGAUGGCGUGCCUUUUGUAGAAUGAACCGGCGAGUUACGAUUUGAUGCAAGGUUAAGCAGUAAAUGUGGAGCCGUAGCGAAAGCGAGUCUGAAUAGGGCGUUUAGUAUUUGGUCGUAGACCCGAAACCAGGUGAUCUACCCUUGGUCAGGUUGAAGUUCAGGUAACACUGAAUGGAGGACCGAACCGACUUACGUUGAAAAGUGAGCGGAUGAACUGAGGGUAGCGGAGAAAUUCCAAUCGAACCUGGAGAUAGCUGGUUCUCUCCGAAAUAGCUUUAGGGCUAGCCUCAAGUGAUGAUUAUUGGAGGUAGAGCACUGUUUGGACGAGGGGCCCCUCUCGGGUUACCGAAUUCAGACAAACUCCGAAUGCCAAUUAAUUUAACUUGGGAGUCAGAACAUGGGUGAUAAGGUCCGUGUUCGAAAGGGAAACAGCCCAGACCACCAGCUAAGGUCCCAAAAUAUAUGUUAAGUGGAAAAGGAUGUGGCGUUGCCCAGACAACUAGGAUGUUGGCUUAGAAGCAGCCAUCAUUUAAAGAGUGCGUAAUAGCUCACUAGUCGAGUGACACUGCGCCGAAAAUGUACCGGGGCUAAACAUAUUACCGAAGCUGUGGAUUGUCCUUUGGACAAUGGUAGGAGAGCGUUCUAAGGGCGUUGAAGCAUGAUCGUAAGGACAUGUGGAGCGCUUAGAAGUGAGAAUGCCG
rnacentral:rRNA from 1 species